rnacentral:rRNA from 1 species
AGUGAACGCUGGCGGUAGGCCUAACACAUGCCAGUCGAACGGCAGCACAGUAAGAGCUUGCUCUUUCGUGUGGCGAGUGGCAGACGGGUGAGGAAUACAUCGGACUCUACUUUUUCGUGGGGUAUCACGUAGGGAAACUUACGCUAAUACCGCAUACUACCUACGGGUGAAAGCAGGGGAUCUUCGGACCUUGCGCGAUUGAGUGAGCCGAUGUCGGAUUAGCUAGUUGGCGGGGUAAAGGCCCACCAAGGCGACGAUCCGUAGCUGGUCUGAGAGGAUGAUCAGCCACACUGGAACUGAGACACGGUCCAGACUCCUACGGGAGGCAGCAGUGGGGAAUAUUGGACAAUGGGCGCAAGCCUGAUCCAGCCAUACCGCGUGGGUGAAGAAGGCCUUCGGGUUGUAAAGCACUUUUGUUGGGAAAGAAAAGCAGAAGGUUAAUACCCCGCUGUUUUGACGUUACCCAAAGAAUAAGCACCGGCUAACUUCGUG